UUCUGCCUCGCGGCAGCUGCCCCGUUCCACACGAUCACCCUGAGCUAGUACCCGGGCUUGGAAUCGGGCCGCAACCUCAGCCGCGCCUGCCGCCUUUCACCGCCUCUGGGCCAUGGACCCCCGCAAAGUGAGCGAGCUUCGGGCCUUCGUGAAAAUGUGUAAGCAGGAUCCGAGCGUUCUGCACACCGAGGAAAUGCGCUUCCUGCGGGAGUGGGUGGAGAGCAUGGGGGGUAAAAUACCACCUGCCACUCAUAAAACUAAAUCAGAAGACAAUAUCAAGGAAGAAAAAACAGAUAGUAAGAAGGCGGAGGAAAACAUAAAGACAGACGAACCAUCAAGUGAGGAAAGUGAUCUAGAAAUUGACAAUGAAGGUGUGAUUGAACCAGAUACUGAUGCCCCUCAAGAAAUGGGAGAUGAAAAUGUAGAGAUAACCGAAGAAAUGAUGGAUCAGGCAAAUGAUAAAAAAGUGGCUGCCAUUGAUGCCCUAAAUGAUGGUGAACUACAGAAAGCCAUUGACUUGUUCACAGAUGCCAUCAAACUGAAUCCUCGCUUGGCCAUUCUGUAUGCCAAGAGAGCCAGUGUCUUCAUCAAAUUACAGAAGCCAAAUGCUGCCAUUUGAGACUGUGACAGAGCUAUUGAAAUAAAUCCUGAUUCCGCUCAGCCUUAUAAGUGGCGAGGGAAAGCACACAGACUUCUGGGCCAUUGGGAAGAAGCAGCACAUGAUCUUGCCCUUGCUUGUAAACUGGAUUAUGAUGAAGAUGCUAGCGCAAUGCUGAAAGAAGUUCAACCGAGGGCCCAGAAAAUUGCUGAACAUCGGAGAAAGUAUGAGCGAAAACGUGAAGAGCGAGAGAUCAAAGAAAGAAUAGAAAGGGUUAAGAAGGCUCGGGAAGAACAUGAGAGAGCCCAGAGGGAGGAAGAAGCCAGACGACAAUCCGGAGCUCAGUAUGGCUCUUUCCCAGGUGGCUUUCCUGGGGGAAUGCCUGGUAAUUUUCCUGGAGGAAUGCCUGGAAUGGCAGGGGGGAUGCCUGGAAUGGCAGGAAUGCCUGGGCUCAAUGAAAUUCUUAGUGAUCCAGAGGUUCUCGCAGCCAUGCAGGAUCCAGAAGUGAUGGUGGCCUUCCAGGAUGUGGCCCAGAACCCAGCGAAUAUGUCAAAAUAUCAGAGCAAUCCAAAGGUUAUGAAUCUCAUCAGUAAAUUGUCAUCCAAAUUUGGAGGUCAAGCAUAAUAAUGCCCUUCUGACAAAUAAAGCCCUUGCUGAAGGAAAAGCAAAGAUCACCUAAUGGAUGUCACAAUAAUACAAACCAGUGUACCUCUGACCUUCUCAUGAAGAAAGCUGGGGUGCUGUGAAGAGAAUCCCUACCCCUCUGCCCCACAUGCAACUGAAACAUUCUAUAGUGGUUUGCCAUUAGGGUAGUCAUUCAGAUAAUGUUUUCCUACUAGGAAUUACAAACUUUAAACACUUUUAAACCUUAAAAAUAUUUAAAAAUAUA